ACACACACACACACACACACACUACCAAUCACAAAAGGACUGGAUGAACCCUAGGAUCUUGAUAGUAUUUUGCGCUCCUAUUGUCAUCAGGGUUGGGAACAGGGUUGAAGAUACCCAAUUCAACAGGUUUUAUGGUACAAGCAGAAAGCCAAGUGCCCAACUUUUGAUUUUAAGAUGGCGAGGGUAGGUCAGAACUAAACUUGAAUGCGGAUGAGCUGGCUUGAAGAUAUUACUUUAGCAGCAAGAGAAAGGACUGCAUUACAGUUAGAUGCACUUAUUUAAUCCAAAAGGGAAAAUAAUCCAAGCGCAAUUCACACAGUAAGGAAAUUCUUCUACUGAUAAUGUAAUGCCUGAACCCAGAACCCUGAAAUCCCCUCCCCUCCUCCAGCUCAGGGUUCAUUCCUUGCAAAUUACGUGCAACCCACCGCAACCCCAAGAGUUCAGGCAAUCAAAAUUAAAACUUUAUGACUCAAAUCAAUCUACAAUUCACUGAACCACAGAUAUGAAAAGGACAAUCCAGGCAAUGGAAUGCAUAAACACACAGCAUCAGAGACAAUAUGAAGUAAACCCGAUGAUAAAAUUACUCAUUUUCAGAAAUAAUUUAAAAUUACUACAUCCAAGCGAGCCUCUUAAAAGGAAAGAGAAAUGAAUACAGCACCUUCUUUCUGAUGGGAACAUGGCGUGCAAUCUUGUCUUCACGUCUAGUUCUGACUUUGGCUUCGAUCCUCACAAACCUUGGCUCUGAAGUUAAAUUUGGCCUCGCUGCCGCUGAUGCCGAAAGGUGUUGCCCGCUCCCUAGGAAAGAGCUCCCGAGCGAAGCUGAGCUUGCCAUUCUC
rnacentral:misc_RNA from 1 species